UACGUAGGGUGCGAGCGUUAAUCGGAAUUACUGGGCGUAAAGCGUGCGCAGGCGGUUUGUUAAGACAGGCGUGAAAUCCCCGGGCUCAACCUGGGAACGGGCGCUUGUGACUGGCAGGCUAGAGUACGGCAGAGGGGGGUGGAAUUCCACGUGUAGCAGUGAAAUGCGUAGAGAUGUGGAGGAACACCGAUGGCGAAGGCAGCCCCCUGGGCCGAUACUGACGCUCAUGCACGAAAGCGUGGGGAGCAAACAGG
rnacentral:rRNA from 1 species